rnacentral:rRNA from 1 species
CCUACGGGUGGCAGCAGUGGGGGAUAUUGCACAAUGGGGGAAACCCUGAUGCAGCGACGCCGCGUGUGGGAAGACGGUCUUCUGGAUUGUAAACCACUGUCCCCAGGGACGAAAAUGACGGUACCUGGGGAGGAAGCUCCGGCAAACUACGUGCCAGCAGCCGCGGUAAUACGUAGGGAGCAAGCGUUGUCCGGAAUUACUGGGUGUAAAGGGAGCGUAGGCGGGGAUGCAAGUUGGGUGUCAAAACUACCGGCUCAACGGAUAGUCGCACUCAAAACUGCAACUCUUGAGUGAAGUAGAGGCAGGCGGAAUUCCUAGUGUAGCGGUGAAAUGCGUAGAUAUUAGGAGGAACACCAGUGGCGAAGGCGGCCUGCUGGGCUUUUACUGACGCUGAGGCUCGAAAGUGUGGGGAGCAAACAGGAUUAGAUACCCGGGUAGUC